CAGGAUGAACGCUAGCGACAGGCUUAACACAUGCAAGUCGAGGGGCAGCAUAAAGUAGCAAUACUUGGUGGCGACCGGCGCACGGGUGAGUAACGCGUAUGCAACCUACCUAUCAGGAGGGGAAGUAACCCGGCGAAAGUCGGACUAAUACCGCAUAAAACAGGGGCACCGCAUGGUGAUAUUUGUUAAAGAAAUUCGCUGAUAGAUGGGCAUGCGUUCCAUUAGGUAGUUGGUGAGGUAACGGCUCACCAAGCCGACGAUGGAUAGGGGAACUGAGAGGUUGGUCCCCCACACUGGUACUGAGACACGGACCAGACUCCUACGGGAGGCAGCAGUGAGGAAUAUUGGUCAAUGGGCGGGAGCCUGAACCAGCCAAGUCGCGUGAAAGGAAGAAGGAUCUAUGGUUCGUAAACUUCUUUUGCAGGGGAAUAAAGUGCAGGACGUGUCCUGUUUUGUAUGUACCCUGAGAAUAAGGAUCGGCUAACUCCGUGCCAGCAGCCGC
rnacentral:rRNA from 1 species